UUUUUUUUAUAUAUAUAGCCUCUUUGGGUACUUAUAAUGUAGAAUAAUGAGAAAAAUUUCUCGAACUCAAAUUUUGUGAAUCAGGGGGGUGUGUCUUUUCCAACAAACUAAAAAUGGCUCGCGCACAAAAUUUAAAAGCUGCAAUCAUAUUUUGAGUUAACAGAUGGAAAACUUGUCGGGUUUUUAAUUACUGUACAAAAUUUCAGACAAUUUGGUUUAGUUUAAGCCCCUUAACUAUUCACGCAAAGUUACAUUUUCCCUAAAAAUCAGCUAUUUGCAUGCUUAAUUAAUGCAUUUGCCUAAUUUGCAUAUGUCAGCAAUAUGCAAAUUAGGUAAAGGCAUUAAUUAAGCAUGCGAAAGGCUGACUUUUUAGAACAAAAUGAAUAGUUAGAGGGCUUAAACUUAACCAAAUUGUCUGAAAUUUUGUACAGUAAUUAAAAACCCGAC